rnacentral:misc_RNA from 1 species
GAUGAAGAACGCAGCGAAAUGCGAUAAGUAAUGCGAAUUGCAGAAUUUCCGUGAGUCAUCGAAUCUUUGAACGCACAUUGCGCCCUUUGGCAUUCCGAAGGCAUGCCUGUUCGAGCGUCAUUAUCCUCCCUCAAACCCCCGGGUUUGGUGUUGGGCCGCGUUGGCACCGUUCGCGGUCCAACUGGUCUCAAAGACAAUGACGGCGUCCGUGGGACCCUCUUCGCACUGAGCUUUCCGGAGCACGCGUCGAGUUGCAAGGUCGCACGGGCCCGGUCACCUAUCGUACUUCGGUACCAUAUUUUUUCAGGUUGACCUCGGAUCAGGUAGGAAUACCCGCUGAACUUAAGCAUAUCAAUAAGCGGAGGA